UCCCGCGUGGGGCUCCCUGCGGGGAGCCUGCUUCUCCCUCUGCCUGUGUCUGUGCCAUUGUCUGUGUCUCUCAUGAAUAAAUAAAAUCUUUAAAAAAAAUACAAGGAAUGGAGCGGGCCGGAGAGGUAGGUGGCUGGAAUGGGGAACACACCCAGUGCCCGUUAGGAAUGCGGAGUAUUUAAGCUGGAAGGGCGAGCGCGCAGGUGGGCGAGCACCCCGCAGCAGGCAGGGAAGGCUGCGGCCCCUCCUCCCCUCGUUCCUGGAGCCCUUAGACGAGUCUCCCGUGCUUGACAUUCUCGCCAGUCCUGAAAGUGGUCUAGCUUCUCUCUAUUUGGGCGCCAUGCUAAACUCCAGGAAGGGUGCUGAGGACCUCCUGAUCUCUUCGUCCUCCAUAGGAGAUGUACUGGCUGAGGAGAUCCCCCUUUGGUGUUUCAGGGACCACCACCACAUAGUGCUGAGGAAAGGAAAAUGUGAAUGAAUGGCAAGAUGGAAAGCUCAAGUAAUGGCCUCUUUAUCCCAAAACCGACGCUCCCAAAUGGAUCAUCCCUCACCAUGGCUCCUCCAUGUAAUGACUCCUUUUUGCCUGGGGCUCACCUGUACAGGCACUUUGGACAAUUCCCCCCUCCUCUGGACCCAGUGCUUCCUGCUCCACCUCCGUGAUCAGACUGUGUUUGCAGAGAGGAUACCCUGCUCAUGGAGAAAGAUGUGUGAGGUGGAGGAACUGUGAAGGAGAUAAGAAAUCUGUCCACAAAACUGAUUCCAAUACUUUGAUACUGAGGAAGAUAGGCAAAUACAACUUCAGGAGUGACCCAAGAAUCAGAUCUUUUACAAGGUCCCCAAAACAGGUAUCUACGUAUCUGUUCACAGAUAUACCUAUGUAUGCCCUGUUCAUAGAGAACUGACCCUUGAAAUCCAAGCCCAAGAGCAGAAACAUAUGGCAAAUUACCUAAAUCUUGUAAUAAUAAUGAAAAAUGAAAUCAGUCGAUUUUUUACAGGAAGCCAUAAGACUGCUCUACAAGGACAGGCGCCAUUCAUUUUAUGUUUGUCAUGUAUUACCAUUCUUUUCACAAAUCCUAGAACAUGGUAUGUCAGGAAGGACUGUCUGCUGCAUGAAGAAAUGAGAAAAUUAAUGAGGCCAAUCUUACCCAGAGAGGCUAGGUUCCUAAAGUUCUCCAGCAUCACAUCUCUGUACAGGAUUUUCUGAGCAUGGUCCAGCAGUGCCCACUCCUCCUGAGAGAAGUCCACCACCACUUCCUCAAAGGUCACGGAAUCCUGAAACAUCACAAACAUUCUGGCUCAGCCAAGGCUCAUUUCCAACAAUGUAGCAAAGGAAUGGUAGGGGAGGCUGCCAGCAAUGGGGAAGGAGACCAACACAUAGAUUUCAUUAUCUGACCCAAGGCUCAGUUCUUUCACUCUCCCUGCCUGGACCAUCUCAUCCAGACUCAUGUUUUUAGUAGCUUGUCUAAUACAUGGUUUAUCUGAUCUUUCCACCACUAGGUUUCGAGGCCUCUUCCAGUCUUAGUCAAGACCAAGUAUAGAUUGACUGUACUACAGGAUGAGAAAAAUACUUGAAAAAUGAAUGGAUGAUUUUCCUAGUGAAAAAAAUCUCUUUUCCUUCAUAGCAUCCAGCAGAAUAUGGAACAAAUACUUAACCUGGAGGAAGAUCUGGAAAAAAAGAAAUCAACAAAUAUUAUAGUAAUAGAAGCCUGUCUUAGGGAUUCUUUGUCUCAUUCUAAGAACCCCAAAGAACUGGGGAAGCCUGAGGCCAGCUCAGUUGAAGCUGUGGGUCAUGGGCAAGAGAUGUGUCCUUUGGGAACAGCAAUGUUUUUUGGAAACAGAAUAAUUUCCUCAGUACCUGUGACCAGGUUGUCAGCAAUCUGGCAGCCAUUCUUCCUCUUGUAUGUCUCCCGCCUUACCAGACAAGGUUCUGAGCAAGCAGACCUAGAGAAGAAAGAAGCCAGGAGAGUCCAGGCUUGACAAAUAUUCACCACUUACAACCUAGAAGCUUCCUCAUACUAGCUUCAGACAGACCACACUCACACACAUACACAUGCACACAUACAUACCCACUGUAUAGUACACUGUUCGGAUUUUAUCUCCCUAUCCAAGAACAGCUAGGAAUUAGAAAUAUAAGAUGCACUUAUUUUUAGUUUUUGAACUUUUUUCUAGACGGAACUACUAAAAAUGUCUACAAUCAAUAGGCAUUGUGAAGAGCAAUGAGCCACUCUCCUACCAAUAUGCCUCUAUUUUUUUUUAAUUUUUAUUUAUUUAUGAUAGUCACAGAGAGAGAGAGAGAGAGGCAGAGACACAGGCAGAGGGAGAAGCAGGCUCCAUGCACCGGGAGCCCAACGUGGGAUUCGAUCCCGGAUCUCCAGGAUCGUGCCCUGGGCCAAAGGCAGGCGCCAAACCGCUGCGCCACCCAGGGAUCCCCCAAUAUGCCUCUAAAUGUCAGUAGUCUUCCCAUAAAAGAAAUCAGGACCCUUUUGAGAAAUAGCUCAGUCCAGUGUAGAACAUGAAAUGUUCAAGCUGAGUUUGGAACAUCUUAUAACAGAAAGCAAGAGACCCAGCAAAGGCUAAUGGGGUUGUGUCAAAAAGACAUGGAGAAAAUUUUUUUAAAAGAGUUCCCCUCUUAGGAUGGAACAAUUUGAUAAAUAAUGGCUGCAGUCUGUUGAAAUCAUCAAAUCGAAACAAAAUCAUGAAUUCAUAAUGAUAUUUAAAAAAAAAACCCUAAUGGUCAGAAUUGGAGGAGGCCAGGAUAUCAGCUUCUGAUUCUGAAAAUUCUAUAAGGAAAAAAAUCAAGCAUAUAUCCCUAUUGUGUGAGUUAAAGUUCUUUACAGAAGAAUCAUACAAGCUUUACAAGAAGCUUCAUUUAUUAUAAAGAAAAAUGCUAGAGUCAGAAAGUAACCAUUUUGCAACCACUAGUAAAUUAAUGGGUCAUGGCAACAAUUAACAGUUAAUAAAUUAUUAGGUGAAAAAUGA